AUGAAAAAUAAAACAAUACAACUGAGUGAAUAGGUUGUGAUGUGGAUGCAGUAAUGUUGAUGAAUGCUAAGCUGGUUCCACGAAACACAUUUCACUUGUGAAUUAAGCUGGAUCCAAGCCCAGGAGGUUCUGCUAUAGACAAUCUGACAGAUGUCUCCAUUCUUCUGAGAUGCCUAACAAUGAAGCUAUCUAACUUAGGCAACAAGGCUCACUGUUUUCCUUGCACUUUUAAUAAAAGCUGAAUAGGUCUGGCUGUAUAUAUUGUGGUACAUUUACAUUGCUUGUUGUGAACAUUAUACUCCACCAGCAUCAACUUCCCUUCUGUUUUAAGAAAAAAAAAAUACAGAUUUGCAUCUUAUUUACUGUAAUAUGACAGCUUGGUGCCACUCUCUGUAGGAGAUUGAUUUCCAUAAUGCAUUUGCAUUGAUGUGUCCAUUUUAAUUUUAGAGCAGUACAGGUCCACUGUCCAUUGUUUAUGAACAGUAAUUUCACCCUUCAGCCUUGUUGACUUGAAGUGUAACUCAUUCGAGGAAGUAGCAAUAGCAGGCAAGUAUUACUUAAAUGCAUGGUGUAUUUAUGAAUAUGUGUGCAAAAAUUUUAAUGCUUGAUAUAUUAUAAUGUUAAUACGGUCAACAUUUGUAAUGUACCGUUGAUGAUUAAUUAGAUAGAGGCUGGUGCUAGAGUAAGUACAAUAACAUGAAUUCUAAAUGCAUUAUUAAAUGUGUUAAGUAAUGGAAGAUGGAAUUAUUAUUUAAUAGUAUUUAUUAUUAUUAUUAUUAUUAUUAUUAUUAUUAUUAUUAUUAUGAUUAUUAUUAUUAUUAUUAUUAUUAUUAUUAAUUAAGUAGGGAUUUAUUCCAUUCUAAAACCUGUCAUCAUUUAAACCCUCUCUGGCAUUUUCCAGAUUUUUACACACAGACAUGUGCUGGUGUUUCACAUGCACUAUUUGAGGUUUGAUUUUCAUAACCAUGCUACACAAAGAGCUGUUUUUGCUGGUAUUUAGAUGCUGGAUUGGGGUUGUUUUGUGUAACUGAUUGUCAUUGUCGUCAAAAGAAAUUAUUUUGCAAUAGCCAGAAGCGUGUGCAAUUUAGGGAAAUUCAGAAUUAUUUUGCAUAUUUGUCAAAAACAUCACCUGAACUAUUUACCUAUAUGACUGUAGCUGGUUACUUGAAUUGUUUUAACUGUUAUUUGUGUGUGUGUAAGGAUGAAUUCAUGUAUGCAUCAAUUGUGUUUGAUGAGCAUGAUUAUAUUUUAUAUUGAUUUUCUUUCAGUUCUAAAGUUUCAACAAUGAAUGAAGAUAUUAUUUAUAUAACUGCUUUGCUUCUAUGCAUUGUUUCAGAAACAUGCAAAACAAUUUGCCUGAAGGAACCAAACACAGAAAUUAAUAAAAGUGAACAUUUCGUUUAUAAGGAAGAUUUGUUUUCCUGUUUUGGAGAUGCGCAUAUUGAAGCAUCAAAUACAACUGUUGAUGAGGGUGACAAUAUCAGCCUGACCUAUUCAACUCAUAAAGAGGUCCCCGGAACGAGCUGGUUUAAAGACGAUGGAAUACUGGUCAACAGAACCCAAAGCAAUAAUCUGAUCCUCACAAAAGUUCGGUCCUACUUUUGUACUGCUACAAAUUUUUGUGCAUCGAAUAAGAUAAACAUCACCAUAAACUGUUCUACUUUCAAUGUUAUUAUUAAUGCCACAUCACUGGCUGUCAACGACAUGGAUAAUAUCACCCUGAUCUGUAUUACUGAUCAUGAAGUUCAGGAAGUUCUCUGGUUUAAAGACGCCGUACUCUUCAAAAGAACCCAAAGCACUAAUCUGACCAUUACAAAGGUGUUGAAAAACAGCACUGGAUCCUACUACUGUACUGCAAGCAGAAGCUGUGGGGACAGCACAUCUAAUAAAAUAGACAUUACAGUUACAGAUAGUUCUCUUUUGAUAAUUAUUAUAUGUGGCCUCGGGGCAGUGGCCUUUCUCAUUUUGUUUAUCAUUGUGAUGAAAUGCAUGAUUAAAAACUCACAAGGUAAGAUUCACCUUGGAUGGGUGUAUCCAGAAACUAGAAUAUGUGGAAUGUGGGAUUUGAGAUCAUUUGUAAGCAUUUAUCAUUGUGGACUUAGAGUGUCAAUAAGUAUGGGGUUCUGAUUUCUCUGGGUUAUAUAAAAAUGUAAAAUAAGGCAAGAUUGGUAGGGUACGUCCAACGUUUUAUGUUGAACAAAGAUUCACAUAUUAAUAUGUACUGCUAAAAUCUUUUUUCUGUCCAUUGAUAAAACAGUUUACACUGUUUACCUUCACACAGUCUACCUAAAUGUUUCCAUUGAAAUGUAACAACGUCCAUCACAGCGAUUCAGCACCCUGCUUUCUCUAUAAUUCUUUGUUCUUUACCUUGCUUUGACCAUGUUUCAUUAGACCGUUUAGCACAGUACACUUUUAUAAGAAAUCCCCAAACAUUCUUUAGUAAGUCCGAACAUAUGUACUGGUUUACUCAAUCUGUAUAUCUAAAUGAGUCCAUGAUCCAAGUGCAAGGGCUUUAUCUUUGAAGUUAGCUGCACGUAUUUCUUAUCAAAGUGUAUGUAAAGACCUUUGAUUGCGUUUCCAGGAGUUACCACACUGAAAUGCUGUCUGACAGAGGGGGCAACGAGCCAUAUAUGAUCCUAUCAACCUUAAUAAAUGACCAUGUUUAAAAUGACAUUAAAAGUCAUGUUAGUAGCAAUGUGUCUGUUAAGUGUUUACAGACCAUGCAUUAAUGUAAUUGGACUGAUAGCAAGUUUUGAUUGAGAAACAUUUGGUAUCAAUGGUAACAGUUGGUAUUGAAUACCUACAGCAGUUCAGCACCCAUUUCCCAACAGGUUUGGGCACAAGAUUGGCUGAGUUACACAUUUAUUACAGUGUGGGGUAGAAUCUGAGGCACAGAGUCCAGGAACCACAUUCCUAACAGAUGUUGGCUGCAGUAGAUUAUGUACAGUAGAGGUUUAGAAAAGAACAUUUAAACAUAGGAAACCGAGCCGAAUCAGAUUGAUACAUCCAAAAAUAAAUCUUAUCUUUUGUAUUUCUAUAGCCAAAAGAAAGCCAAGGAAGGUAUCAGAUGCCAACAGCACUACCACUGUAACUUCACAGUACUGACGCAAAUUCACCAAUCUCAGGGACCAGUCAGGCCUCAUCAAACAUCAGUUUGUCCUCACACAGGGCAAUGAAAACAUCUGCCCUGAUCCACCACAUCUUAUUUCACUGGGACGACAGAGGCUGAAUUAGCUGGUGAACAACUGUGAACGACACUGUGUUGCACAACCAGAUAUGAACGACUAUAAUGAAACCGGAUCAGCAGACUCUCUUUCUUUAGCCUUUUAUUAGCAAGAAACUCAGGAUCAGACAGCACAUAUUUUACAACGACAGACGUAUAUAGAAAAACAACAGUACGCAGUAAUGUAUCGGACUAGGGGACCGGUUUGUGAUAAAGGACAGGGGAAUUUAUUAUUUUGGAACUCUAAAUUAAGUAGCCGACACCUUAAAUAUACGCCCUGCAUCCCAGUGGAGAGUAGUGUAUAUUACAUGCCAGUAAUAUCCAACAUGUUACGUACAUUGCUGUGUCUUUAUAUAUAUUAGUAAGCUCCAGCGCCCUCUAGUGUACAGCAGCGUAUUGCCAAACAAUUUAGAAACACUACAAGAAUUCAGUGUGGUAUUGCCAGCAAAACAAAGGAAAACUUCUUCCAAAUGAGCACAUCACUAGAUGGUGCUGGCUCAUAUGUCUGUUAAAAGAAAUUGAAACCACCACUAAUCUGCAUAUACCUAUGGCAGGUAACAAGAACUGAAGAGCAGCUAAUGAACCCAGGUGAAAGCCACUUAAACACAGAUUUAUUAAAUAAUAAUAAUAAUAAUAAUAAUAAUAAUAAUAAUAAUAAUAAUAAUAAUAGAACAUUUAAUCUUUUACAAAUAUUACAUUUCUUACCUGUUUAAUCCUAUGGCGUAUGUUCUGCAUGAUUCUGUAUCGGUUUUUCAGCUUAGAUCAGAGAUUGCCAAGCUUACUAUGCAGCAACAAAUUUCUGCUUAAAAAAAAACCUUAAUUGCAGAACACUAUCAUUCUGUAAAUAGAGCACCAAAAAUGAACUGCAAAAAAAAUGAACCGUGUUAUGGUUUUAGAACCAGGAAAACCCCAUUGAGAUGGAGGCAUUAUCUUAAGUCAGAUUUGCUAAAGUAGUGCUAGACAAGAAUUUUAAAUCCAUAUUCCUACUCUAACUGCAAUCAGGCACAGACUUGUAUCUACAGCACUGUUCUUGAAAAUGCUUUAUGUCCCCAGCUAAAGUAUAAAGACCAAAAGAACAAAAAGAUCUUAAACACAAAUAGAGGUGGCCUGUGUGAUAAUGCUGCUAUUGCUGAUAAGAGGUGAGGAAAUGGGGUUGAUUUUACACCCUUGGUUAGCACUCUAUGAUGGUCUUCAUAGAAGCUCUGAAUUGCUUUCCAUUCAGAAGACCACCACACUUCAUCACCAUACUAACCUUAGAAACAUUUAUGUGCCAACAAAUGAAGUUAGAUUACAUUUUCUCAGUUUAGUGACUUAUGUUUAAUUGAUGGUGCAGGCAUUAUUUGUACAUAUUAAAUCAUUUAAACAAAUACAUAUUUGUCUUAAAACUGUACAGUACAUUACAAUACAACUGAAUGUAAGUUUAGAACUAGGAAAUAAAGUUUCUUGAUGUCUUUUAAUGGCAUUAUUCAAUCAAAUUUUCCUCUAAUACAGUUUAACACAUUUUCUUUUUGGAAUGAAUAGUGCCACAGAAAAGAGAAAUAAUGCGGGUGCUGUAAUUCUUUGAUUGAAUAUGCCUCUUGGCUUUGUUUAGAUGGUAGAAACAUAACUGUAUUUUAUCUAGGCCUGCUUUAUGUAAUUUUAUGUUUCUAAUAAUGAUGUAUUUGACUUGCUUCGUAGAACAGGAUAUAGGA